ACGGCAACGCCGGAUCGUUAACCCACUGAGCAAGGGCAGGGACCGAACGCGCAACCUCAUGGUUCCUAGUCGGAUUCGUUAACCACUGCGCCACGACGGGAACUCCCUCUUCCUAAUUUUUAAGGAAGUAGCGGUCAUGACCGGGAUGAUCAGAGUCUCUUACGGAGCCCCUGCCCGGUAUGAGGCGUCUGGUGCUAAGCAGUGCACCUGCAGUAUUUGGCUUGAUCCUCUAAAUGACCCUACAUACAGAGGAGGUUCAUAUCGCCACUUUCCAGGUGGAAGAAUCAAGGCUCAAAGUAGUUAAGAUACUUGCAGAUCUAAAACCUGUUCUUUUUGACCUGAAAAUCAGCGUUUUUAAUAACUAUAUAAUCUGGUUUCAGAUUUUCUUCUUUAGAACUUAGGAUCUUGAAGAAAAUGAUUUUCCUUGUGAAUAUUUGAUAGUUCCUCUUUGUCUUUAAGGAAGAGAAUGACCAGGAAACCUUAGGGCAAGAAACUUGGUUUAUACAAAGAUUAAUCCACCAAGCAUCACAAAAGAUCCCAUUAGGGCCCAAGGGUCUUUGGAAGAAAAGGCACCAGGGCACAGAUGAUAGCUUUAGGGUAUCUGAGGGCCUAAGUGGGCAGAGUGUUAUUUCAGAAUUCCAAAGAUCCUUCCUUGGUGAAUCAUAAAUUGGGGGAGUGGUGAAACACAGGGCAAAAACCUAGUCCCUGGCUCUGAGUAUCUGCUGGUCUUCUUGGAGGAGAAGCUCUGGGAAGGGGAGUCUAAGUCAAGGCAUAGCUCCUGUGGGACGGUGGCAGCAGAGAUGCAGGCAGCCAGCCAGCCAAUAUGCAACACCUUUGUGUGCCAGACUCACACGCUAGUGAGGAGAGUGGCAUGGUCUGUAAUGACCUCUAAAUGGAGGUCAGGGGAGCCUAGGGGCUCCUGAGUGGGCCAGGGUCCCAGAUGUGUGGUCCCCUUACAUCAUUGACUUCUGCUGAUGGUCUCACCCCACCCAGGAAGUAAUUGCACAGUAUAAUUGUUCAUAUGGAACACACAAGCAAACAAGUUUAGAAAGGUUAAGAAAGAGAUUAACUCUUACCCAAAGUCUCGCAGGCGGAAAGUGGCAGAGUCGGAGAGUCGGUCAAAGCCUCGUCCAUACUGCAAGUAUUGUGUAAAACUGAAGCUGGACUCUGGCUAAAUUGCGAAGAACCUCAGCUAGAUUGGUCUUGUCCGCCCGAGUAUCCUGGCCGGGAAGAAUGGUGGUGUCAUUGCACUGCUUAUCAAAUGUGGGAUCUCAGAAGUUUUUAAGCUCUUGUAAAAAUGAGGGUGAUGAUAGUACUUUUCGUAGGGUUCUGGUGAGGUUUAAGUGCGUUAGUACAUGUGAAGGGCUUAGACUCAUGCUGGCACAUGUCAUCUAAGUGGUGGCUAUGAUUGUGUGGUUCUGUUGACAGGCAUUUGUGAAGAGUCUGCAUGAAAAAGAGAAUGAAUUCCGUUUGGAACACGCAGAGCAAGCGUUUAGUUUACCCCCAGUCCAGCUGGACGUGAAACCAGUUGAAUGUCCAUUUGACCUUAUGUGCCAUGAGGUCGGAGAUUGUCUGGCUCACCCCUGUACCCACAACACGAGAAGAGUGCCUGACCUGUGGAAGGUUCUCAUACUGAUUUCUUGGGUAAAUGAAUGAAUGAAUAAACGAAGGCACGGUAGGCAUUCUUUCGGGUAUAAGUUGUACGUGAAUAGCAGAGUUCAGUUGUGUGCCCUCUGAAGGUCACCAGCAGGUGUGAGGUAGAGGGGUCUGCAAGUGAGAGUGGUCUUCCUGCAGAGACUCCCAAGGCUGUAUGGCCUCCCUUCCCUUUCCAGAUCUUACUGAGUGGUCACUCCUGGCGUUCUCUGCCAGCCAAACUGCGUUGCCAAUCCCCAAGAAAAUACAGGAUCUUUUUUCCUGUCCUUUGACUUCAAACUGGGGUCAAAGGCCUUAGGCUGAUGUGAAAAUAACUAAAGGCCCUGAGCAGACAAAGGCCCUCCUGCAGCCAGCGCCCACUGUAAACACUGGCCUUCCUUUCCUCUAGCCUGAAGCUUCCAGGUACUUCCCUGGGCCUAUCGUGACCUCUCCCAGCCUGACAGUCUGGUGGCUGCAGCAGGUCCCGGUGAGUGUGUGGGAAGCGACGGGGGCUUCUGAGGGAGGUGACAGCUGGCUCUCCGAGAAAGAAAACGUGUGUGCCCAUGCAUACUCGAGUUGAUGGUGCAUUGUACUUUUCUAAGGGCUGUACAGCACACAGCUUACAAGUGGAAAUAGAAUAUAAAUGCUUUUAUUGUGAAUUUCAAAUAAUUGAUUCUCAGAUAAGACAUUCAUUGAUUUACUCGGAACCCUUGUAUCUGGAGUCAGCUGUGGUUGCAGCUGGAUAACAGGAGCACUUUGGACAUUAAUUAAACAUUAACAUUAAUUGAUGUUUUCAUUACUAAGGUGAAAGUGAAACAACAAAGAGGUUGGAAAUCACUCAUUUGUUAAUAGUGUAAGUGACUUUUUCCCUGAAUUUGAAGGAAUAUUGCCUCAGUUUUUUGUGCUCAUCACCAUGGAGCAGGUACAGACUUGACAGAGCUUAAGUGUCAUCUCCAUUAUCAUCACUGCUCUUUAACUUCAGACAGUCAACAAAGCCAAGGAUUAAGUAUUGAUUUGUAACAUUCACAAGUUUCUGUGAUACAAACACUCCCCCCCCUGGGUGAUUUCAGGCCUCUGAAGUGAUGUCAGUGAACAUCCGGCUGAGAAGGACGAGCCCGCACCACACAGGGUUUCUGUCAUACGCACAGGACAUGUGUCCACAGCCUUGGGAUGAACCUAGAAGGCGUGAUGCUGUGUGAGAUGAGGCAGACGGAGACAGAGACCGCGUGAGAGCCGUGUGCGCGGUCUGCAAACGUCAAACUGUGAGAGGCAGUGAGAACAGCCGUUACCGGGGGCUGGAAGUGUGGUGUGUAGGGACAUGGUCAACGUUUCGUGUAUGCGCUAUGGUUUCAGAUUACACACUGUUCGAGGUCAGAGAAGCGAGUGGAACACGUGGCAUGCCAGGUCGUGCAGGGAGCAGUUUUCCCUUUAGCGUCUAAGCUUUUUGAGGACGGGUACUUAGGAAGAAGUUUACCUGUGGCACCAGGUACAGUUGCUUUGAGGGCGGGAACACCCACUAAACCUCUAAGCAAAUGUGGAAAUUUAUCUUUCUUGAGGACACAAGCUGACAAAUUCCAGCCUAUAUACCAACCUGAAAGACCAAGCAAGCCUUGGAAAAAAAAUGAAGCGCUGGCCAGUCCAGAGCGAGGCAGAAGAUUGAGUCAGGGGUUUCAUCUUAGUCAAAAGGAUGCACCUUCUUCUUCUCCCUCCUGGCACAUCUGCCUCAUGAGUCCUGAGCCCAGGUUAUCGUCCACUCAGGACCUGGCCUGUCCUCUCCGCUGCCGUAUCCCAAGCCACAGUCAGCUUCAUGGCCAGGUGACAUUCAACAGAGACAAGGUGAGAGUUUCUCAAAACUCUUCCUUACAAAGGCAGUUAAAAAAAAAGAAACGAGUGAAGCAGAGUAAAGCAAAGUAUAGAAUUCAAAAUGCCUUAACAGGACGUGUUUUGUAGAGCCCGUGAUUGAAUGCAAAUCAAGGAAACUUGGCCAUCGGACAGAUCCCAGAGUGUCAGAGCAGUGAGGGACCUUCAGAGAGUUUCCAGCCCACCCUCGUGACCUUGUAGACGGGCCCUCGAGCCUGGGAGGGAAGGACUUCCCCAGAGUUAACAUCAGCAUCAGCGUCAGUGUCAGAGCUGGCCCAGGACCCGCAUCUUCUCCUGGUCCAGUUCUGUUUCCAGACAUGAUGCUUCUGCUGUUCCAGCCUCCUAAAACGGUCGUUCCUCAGGCCCGCAUGUGUUGAAAUAGCUCUUUUUUUUUUUUUUUUCUUUAGCAGUCUCUGUGCUAGCAAAUAGAUUUUUUAGCAGUCUCUACGGAACAGAUAAUGCAUUCUUUUGGUUUCCAAAUCAAAUAUUAUCAGGGAAUGGCAUAAAAAGCCUUUCUCCUUCCCCUGCCUCUGUUUCUCCUAUCUAUAGACAAUGCUUCUUCUUAGCUUCUUGUUCUUUUUUUUUUUUUUCCUAGGAAUUUUUUUUGCAUAUGUAAGCAAUUUGAUGAAAUACUCUCUCCCCCCCUUUUUUUUUUAAACACACUGUAUACUCUGAUUUCGCUUUUUCCCCUCAAGUUUUUAUCUAGGAAAACUCCCCAUAUGAAUGUACAGGGAGUGCCCUCAUUCAUCUUUGCAGCAGCAAAGUUUUCCAUUACCCAAUGGGGAUCCUAGUUUAUUUAGUUGGUCCUCCAGGGGUGUCAAUUUUGAUGGUUUCCAACAUUUUGCUCUUAUAAACAACACUGCAGGAGAUACCUGUGUAUACCUGUCAUUUCGUGUGUUUGUGAUUCAUAUAUGUAAGAUAAAUUCCGCAAAGAUGAAGUAGAAGAAUCUUAAGGGUAUAUGUAUUUGUCGUUUUGAUAGACGUUGCUGAAUUGCCCCAGUAACCGUCGUGUCAGUGUAGACUCUUAUAAUGUUUGCAAGUUCCUCUUUCUCCAGGUCCUCUCCAACACAGCCUGUCAGCAGAUUUCAUAUCUUUGCAUAUUGGAUGAUGAGGAGAUGGUAUUUCAGUAUUUAAAAAUUCAAGCUAUAGGAAUAUUAACGUUAAUAACUGAACCGAAUCUCCCUCCUCAUUGCUUCUGAAUUCCCUUCCCAGGAUACACUCACUUUGAUUAUAGGGAUCUCAUUAUGUAAUUUCUUUUUCUUUUUUCUUUUUUGCUUUUUAGGGCCUCCCAGCUUAGAGGCCACAUCAGAACUGCCAGCCUACGCCACAGCCACAGUAACAUCAGAUCCAAGCCGUAUCUGUGCCCUAUGCCUCAGCUCACAGCAAUGCUGGAUCCUUAACCCACAGAGUAAGGCCAGGGAUUGAACCCAGCAUCCUUAUUGAUACGAGACAGGUUCAUAACCCGCUGAGCCACACCGAGAACUCUGGUAAUUUUUUUUUUUUAAACUCAAAAUACAUCCUUCGCAUUAUUCAGAACAGCACAUAUCUGCCUCAUUCAUCCAUAUAACGGUUAUUGCAUUUAUUAGGUUUUAGAUCCUGGAGAUAAAGCCCUAAACAAAACCAGAUACUUUCCGUGUCUUGUGGAACUUGUAUUCGCUUGGGAAGACGUUAAAAAUGGAUAAACAGGGAGUUCCCGUCGUGGCGCAGUGGUUAACGAAUCCGACUAGGAACCAUGAGGUUGCGCGUUC